rnacentral:rRNA from 1 species
GGGCCCGCACAAGCGGUGGAGCAUGUGGCUUAAUUCGAGGCAACGCGAAGAACCUUACCUGGUCUUGACAUGCCCGUCAUAGUUUUCCGAAAGGAAUUCGUCAGUUCGGCUGGACGGUGCACAGGUGCUGCAUGGCUGUCGUCAGCUCGUGUCGUGAGAUGUUCGGUUAAGUCCGGCAACGAGCGCAACCCUCGUUCCUAGUUGCCAGCGGGUAAUGCCGGGGACUCUAGGAAGACAAACCUCGUGUAGAGGUGGGAAGGUGGGGACGACGUCAAGUCAGUAUGGCCCUUACGACCAGGGCUGCACACGUGCUACAAUGCCCAGCACAAUGGGAUGCAACACCGCGAGGUUGAGCAAAUCCACAAAACUUAUCUCAGUCCGGAUCGGAGUCUGCAACUCGACUCCGUG